GGGGAUGUAGCUCAUAUGGUAGAGCGCUCGCUUUGCAUGCGAGAGGUAUGGCGAUCGAUACCUUGCGUCUCCA
rfam:Ipomoea nil DNA, scaffold: scaffold1317, cultivar: Tokyo-kokei standard.